rnacentral:rRNA from 1 species
GAUGAACGCUGGCGGCGUGCCUAAUACAUGCAAGUCGAGCGAACAGACGAGGAGCUUGCUCCUCUGACGUUAGCGGCGGACGGGUGAGUAACACGUGGAUAACCUACCUAUAAGACUGGGAUAACUUCGGGAGACCGGAGCUAAUACCGGAUAAUAUAUUGAACCGCAUGGUUCAAUAGUGAAAGACGGUUUUGCUGUCACUUAUAGAUGGACCCGCGCCGCAUUAGCUAGUUGGUAAGGUAACGGCUUACCAAGGCAACGAUGCGUAGCCGACCUGAGGGGGUGAUCGGCCACACUGGAACUGAGACACGGUCCAGACUCCUACGGGAGGCAGCAGUAGGGAAUCUUCCGCAAUGGGCGAAAGCCUGACGGAGCAACGCCGCGUGAGUGAUGAAGGUCUUCGGAUCGUAAAACUCUGUUAUUAGGGAAGAACAAAUGUGUAAGUAACUAUGCACGUCUUGACGGUACCUAAUCAGAAAGCCACGGCUAACUACGUG